GAUCCUGGCUCAGGAUGAACGCUAGCUACAGGCUUAACACAUGCAAGUCGAGGGGAAACGACAUCGAAAGCUUGCUUUUGAUGGGCGUCGACCGGCGCACGGGUGAGUAACGCGUAUCCAACCUGCCCAUGACUUGGGGAUAACCUUGCGAAAGCAAGCCUAAUACCCGAUACGCUUCAUAGAUGGCAUCUGAAAUGAAGUAAAGGUUUACGGUUAUGGAUGGGGAUGCGUCCGAUUAGCUUGUUGGCGGGUAACGGCCCACCAAGGCAUCGAUCGGUAGGGGUUCUGAGAGGAAGGUCCCCCACAUUGGAACUGAGACACGGUCCAAACUCCUACGGGAGGCAGCAGUGAGGAAUAUUGGUCAAUGGAGGCAACUCUGAACCAGCCAAGUAGCGUGCAGGAUGACGGCCCUAUGGGUUGUAAACUGCUUUUAUGCGGGGAUAAAUUGACUCACGUGUGGGUCAUUGCAGGUACCGCAUGAAUAAGGACCGGCUAAUUCCGUG
rnacentral:rRNA from 1 species